GAGGAAUAUUGGGCAAUGCCCGCAAGGGUGACCCAGCAACGCCGCGUGGAGGAUGAAUGUCGUAAGAUUGUAAACUCCUGUUAGAGGGGAAGAAUAGUACCGGUUGGACCGGUAUAUGACUGUACCCUCAGAGAAAGCCCCGGCUAACUACGUGCCAGCAGCCGCGGUAAUACGUAGGGGGCAAGCGUUGUCCGGAUUUACUGGGUGUAAAGGGCGCGCAGGCGGGAUAAAAAGUCAGUGGUGAAAUCCUACAGCUUAACUGUAGAACUGCCUUUGAUACUUUUAUUCUUGAGUUCGGGAGAGAGAGACGGAAUUCCAGGUGUAGUGGUGAAAUACGUAGAUAUCUGGAAGAACACCAGUUGCGAAGGCGGUCUCUUGGUCCGACACUGACGCUGAGCCGCGAAAGCGUGGGGAGCAAACA
rnacentral:rRNA from 1 species